rnacentral:rRNA from 1 species
UACGGAGGGUGCAAGCGUUGUCCGGAUUUAUUGGGUUUAAAGGGUGCGUAGGCGGCACGUUAAGUCAGUGGUGAAAGCCUCCAGCUCAACUGGAGAACUGCCAUUGAUACUGACGGGCUUGAGUACAGACGAGGUUGGCGGAAUUGAUUGUGUAGCGGUGAAAUGCAUAGAUACAAUCAAGAACUCCGAUUGCGUAGGCAGCUAACUAGGCUGUAACUGACGCUGAGGCACGAAAGCGUGGGGAGCGAACAGG